rnacentral:rRNA from 1 species
GAUGAACGCUAGCGGCAGGCUUAACACAUGCAAGUCGAGGGGUAGAGUGGCUUCGGCUACUUGAGACCGGCGCACGGGUGCGUAACGCGUAUGCAAUCUACCUUAUACAGGGGGAUAGCCCAGAGAAAUUUGGAUUAAUACCCCAUAGUAUUUUCGAAUGGCAUCAUUUGAUUAUUAAAGUUCCAACGGUAUAAGAUGAGCAUGCGUCCCAUUAGCUAGAUGGUAAGGUAACGGCUUACCAUGGCUACGAUGGGUAGGGGUCCUGAGAGGGAGAUCCCCCACACUGGUACUGAGACACGGACCAGACUCCUACGGGAGGCAGCAGUGAGGAAUAUUGGGCAAUGGUCGCAAGACUGACCCAGCCAUGCCGCGUGCAGGAUGACGGUCCUAUGGAUUGUAAACUGCUUUUGUACAGGAAGAAACACUCCUACGUGUAGGAGCUUGACGGUACUGUAAGAAUAAGGAUCGGCUAACUCCGUGCCAGCCGCCGCGGUAAAAC